AGACGAGACGCUGGCGGCGUGCUUAAUACAUGCAAGUCGAGCGGGGUUUAUGGGUAGCUUGCUACCGAUAAACCAAGCGGCGGACGGGUGAGUAACGCGUGGGCAACCUGCCCUCUAGCCUGGGAUAACAGUUCGAAAGGACUGCUAACACCGGAUAAGCUCACACUCGGACAUCCGAGAGUGAGAAAAGUUUACACUAGAGGAUGGGCCCGCGUCCCAUUAGCUAGUUGGUGAGGUAACGGCCCACCAAGGCGACGAUGGGUAGCCGACCUGAGAGGGUGAUCGGCCACACUGGGACUGAGACACGGCCCAGACUCCUACGGGAGGCAGCAGUAGGGAAUUUUCCGCAAUGGGCGCAAGCCUGACGGAGCAACGCCGCGUGAGGGAUGAAGGUUUUCGGAUCGUAAACCUCUGUCUUCAGGGACGAUAAUGACGGUACCUGAGGAGGAAGCCACGGCUAACUACGUG
rnacentral:rRNA from 1 species